CAAAGAUACCAAGCUUUGUUAACACACUGUUUUUGCCUCUCUGUCUUGCUGUUGACUUGAGAACUCCAUCUGUUUUCUACCAUGCAGCUUGCCAUCCUUUCUAUUGCUUUGAUGACAUGGAUGUUCUUGGUUUUCCCAGGUGCUGUUGCUGAAGGAGAAAUGUCUGCUGCCGACUGCCAGGAGCAAGGUGGUCGUUGUGUCAAAGAAUGUGACGACGAUGAGGACAAGGGUGAAGCUUGUACAGGAGGGAUGUGUUGUAAAGAAACUUGCAAAAAUAAUCUCUGAACUGGAAAGUAAAGCUGAAAGCAGAAGACAAAUUUUACUAUUAAAGUCACUAAUAAGGAUGAUUUGAGACACAAAAAAUACUUUCCAGAAAGUGUGACCAUGAAGUGAAGAAGCUUCCUCGUUAAUCAAUGGAUCUGUUCUUCGUCUUUUCUUUAUGUCAACAACUACCAAACAGAGAAUAAAUCCCAAGUUUCUGAAA